ensembl:lncRNA
GGCAUGGAGGAGAGCAACCAUGGACUACUUCUUCUGUUCCUAAUCCAGGUUUACAGAGCUUCCUGAUCUGUGGAAGGAAAUGACACUCAGAGUCCAGAGGAAGGUUCUGGAAGCUUUGGGUGAGGAGAAGCAGUAACAUCUAACCCAAAGUCUAGUUGCACGGGGUGGCAGGGAGCCACUGUUCCGCCCCCAGGAGACAUACCGGGGUUAUAGGAGUGUUGUUGAACGGUGUUACCUGGAUGAUGACCCUGCAGCUGACCUUUGCCAUAUGGAACCAGUGGCACUGAGCAUCCAUUAACGGUGCCAGUGAGGUGCGCUACAGCCUUAGUCACUGGGAAGGCCUGUAUGGUUCUGGUUGUGUUAGUCAUGUUGGCAAGGCUUGAGGAUGAGCGGUAAUCCCACCAGUGGAGGUUUGGCAGGCAGUAAUUCCAUAGCAGGUUUACAGAGCUUCCUGAACUGUGGAAGGAAAUGAUGCGCAGAUUCUGGGGUAGAUGUACGCUCCCACUAACAGAGACAGCAGGAUGAUGACUUGAAAGAUCCACACAGACAAAAACACCACCAUAAAACCUGA